AGAUUGAACGCUGGCGGCGUGCCUAACACAUGCAAGUCGAGCGGUAACAGGUGUAGCAAUACAUGCUGACGAGCGGCGAACGGGUGAGUAAUGCUUUGGAAUCUUCCCAGUAGUGGGGAAUAACCAGUCGAAAGAUUGGCUAAUACCGCAUACGUCUGUAAAGGGAAAGCGGGGGCUCGUAAGACCUCGCGCUAUUGGAUGAGCCAAAGUCGGAUUAGCUAGUUGGUGGGGUAACGGCCUACCAAGGCGACAAUCCGUAGCUGGUCUGAGAGGACGACCAGCCACACCGGAACUGAGACACGGUCCGGACUCCUACGGGAGGCAGCAGUGGGGAAUAUUGGACAAUGGGGGAAACCCUGAUCCAGCGACGCCGCGUGUGUGAAGAAGGCCUGCGGGUUGUAAAGCACUUUUAGUGGGGACAAAAGCUACGGAUUAAUACUCUGUGGUCUUGAUUUAACCCAAGAAAAGCACCGGCUAACUCUGUGCCAGCAGCCGC
rnacentral:rRNA from 1 species